rnacentral:rRNA from 1 species
UACGGGGGGGGCAAGCGUUGUUCGGAAUUACUGGGCGUAAAGGGCGCGUAGGCGGUCUGCUAAGUUGGAUGUGAAAACUCUGGGCUUAACCCAGAGCCUGCAUUCAAUACUGACAGGCUAGAGCUCUGGAGGGGAUAGCGGAAUUCCUGGUGUAGCGGUGAAAUGCGUAGAUAUCAGGAGGAACACCGGUGGCGAAGGCGGCUAUCUGGACAGAGUCUGACGCUGAGGCGCGAAAGCUAGGGGAGCAAACAGG